AUGCAGCUUACCAGGAAGAUACUGGAUUUGAAGCAGGAUGAGCAGCUAUAUCAUAAUCUUCAUGAGGAGAUCAAUCAUAUGGCCCUCAGACUGGAAAAACAGGGGAAGGCUGAAGGAAAGACCAUCUCAACCCGCAGGAAACACAUCAACAAAAUGUGGCUGAAGGCUCAAUCGCACUUGAAGGAAUAUCACGAGAAUCUUCAGCUCGCCCUCGAAGUCUCGUCCUUCUACCAGCAGGCCGAUAACAUUGUCUGUUCCAUCAGCAACAUGAAAAAAACCCUCUCAGCGAGCAACGGAGUGGAAAACGCCAGAGACGGGGAAAUUCGGGACAUUGCCAGUCAAAUCAUGAUGCUGGAUGUGAGCGUUUCCCAGCUCUCCAACCUGCACCCGGCGCUGGCGACCCGCGUCACACAGAAGCAGAGCGAGGUGAAAGACUGCUGGGCCAUUCUCCAGAAGACUCUCAGGAAUGAAAAGGCAGCUCCGCUCCCCUCCGACCCCUCGUUAACCAGGGACAGCAGUGACCCUGUAACCCCGAGCCAAGAGCCACCCGGCAGCGUGGGAACAGACCCACACAGGAUUAUGGGAAAGGAGGUUAAAGAGGAACAAAAUCGUCUGAAGGGGUUUACGACUCUCUCCUGGCUCAAAGACAGCGUUGCGAUGGCCACUCAGAUCUGCAGUUUGGCCGGACCGAACGGUUUUGAAGCAGCCAAGAGGCGUCAGGCCUCACUGGAACAGGAUAUCCUGUCCAACAGAGCCAGGAUAGAGCUGGUCAAGAAGGAGGGUUACAGUCUGGUGAGGGCUCAGCAUCCGGGCAGCAUCAAGAUCCAGGAGUUUCUGAGUCAGCUGGAGGUUCUGUGGGACGAGCUGAAGAGAAGGCAUGAGAGGAACGGUCUGGUCCUGAAGGUCUCAGAGGAGCUCAACUGCAGGGUGGUGCGGAUGCUGCAGUCUCUGGCCAGUCUUCAGGCGUGGUUGGAGGCGGUGGAGCUGUCCAUCAGGCAGGCGUCUCUGGCUGGAGACCCCGAGUCCGUGAGCGUGGCGGAGCAAGAGAGCUGCCAGCUGGAGCAGGAGCUUGAGGCCAGACGUCUGGAGCUGCAGAACCUCAGACAGGAAGUAGAUUAUCUGAGCAGUCAAAGACAUCUUCACACUCAGCUGCUUCCUGCACGCCUGAAGGACGUGGAAAUGAAGUUCAGCAGUGUGCAGAUGGCACUGACCCAACAGAGCUCAGAGCUGAAGGACACACGGAUGCUCACGGACUUCCUGGAGAAGCUGGAGCUCGAGGAAAGCCACUACAGCACUCUGGGACAGCCGCUGUGUGGAGAGCUCGACUCUGGCCCGUCUCUUCUGGGCUCGCCGGUGAGCAGACAUGACGAGCCCCUGAUGGAAGCCAUUGGGAACCCUGUGAAGGAGCUCAGAGAAGCAGUGGAGAUGCUCAAUGACACGGCGCGGGAGAGGGGCCGCUCGCAGUCACAUGACCAGAGCAUCCAGGAGCUGAUCACCAGGCAUGCCAUGGUGUCAGCGCACGUGGAGCAGUGUCUGCAGCGCUGUGCGGAGCUCGCCGUAGAUGUGCUGGAGAUUGAAAGUGAGAUGGCUGUGAGAUGUGAGCCGGAUCGCUGUGGUCUGGAUGACCUGCAGGAGUACCAGGACCAGCUGGAGGCUGAAUACAGGGUCUUGAAGGAGGAGGUUGAGGCCAUGGUGAGUCUGGCGAGCUGUUUGUCAGACGUGUGCCCGGAGAGGAUGAACGCUGUAGGGACUGAGAUUCAGACCAGCCUGAACGCCUGGGACGAGCUCGGCAAAAGUGUGGCUGAAAACAAGAAGAGACUCCUGCAGUUCGGACACCUGCGCCAUUUCUUUAGGAACUACCUGGCAAUGAUCUCUUGGACAGAAGACACCCGCUCCUGCAUUUUCUCAGAAAGCGCUCUGCGUCAAAGCCGAGAGAACCAGGAGCCUCUGGUUGAGGUUCUGGAUCGGCAGAUAGAGCAGAAGUUUGAGGAGUUUGAUCAGCUCGCCGUGGCUGGAAAAAAACUCUUUGACGACGAGCAUCACCUCAACAAAAUGAUCAGAGAGAGGGUGGAGGAGCUGAGGAGCAUGCUGGGAUGGAUCCUGGUCCACUGGAGGGCUCAGAAGGAUCAGCUGUUGAGCAGACAGAAGACUGAAGAAGCUCAAACAGAUGCUAUUUACUCCGAGGCCAUGGUCUGCAGCCCACAAACACAGUUGGAAACCUCACCCGAGGUCUCUCAGAAGAAAACAGAAAGCCUCAAAAGUGCUCCCCCUGGUGACACGGAGGAUGGUUUGCAGCACAGUUAUGGAUAUGAGGUGAUGCAAAGUGUCAGUCCUAAAGGAAGCGAUGAUAGCGGUCGUUUAGAGAGGCCGGAUUCACCGUACCUGGUGCUAAAGGAACCCAGCCCAUCAGCUUUAGGAGGCACCGUCAACCUCAUCCUCAGCUUCAGUAACUCUGGAGACACACAAAUCCAGCCUGCUGAGUCUCACUCUUCUGCCUGUAAAAGCUUUUGGAAGCGCUGCCAGGGGCUUUUUGGUAGUUUAAAGCGAAAGACAAAGAUUUAUCAACACAGUGCAGAAGAGGUAAGUACUUACUUGCAUGUUACGGAAAACAACACGGCAGUGUAUGAAAGUAUGGCGCUUCCCCAAGACAAAGCUCCAAGGCCCUCCUCCUCCUCUCCCAGGACCCUAUAUGCUCUCUCCUCCCCUUGCACCUCCCCAUACUCCUCGUCCUCCAUCAAAGACACACUACAACAGGCCAACAACCUCCUGCCAAAGAAUGGCAACAUCUCAAUCUUAAGCAGCCUGAAGAGGAAGAGCAAGAAGGCCAGGAAGAAGAAAGAUGACCGUAGACACACCAUUCAGAAGAUCAUGGGAGAGGAUCUGUCAGAGCAGGGAGAGGAUCUGUCAGAGCAGGAUGAUUUGCCACCUGUACGUGAACCGGUGACAUACGAUACACAUACUUGGCCCCUGAAGGAAAGAAAGAAGAGGAAAAAUGCAAGGAAACCAAAAAGCGAUGGGACUCAGGUCUUGGACUACAUAAAAAACCCUUUAGUGAAAGACAUAGAUGCAGAAUGUUCUGGAGAGGUUGGAUCUCCAGUUCACAGCACCUUAGAGGUUGCCACCCAAGGACAUGUGAAGAACCACUGUAGAUUUCUAUCCUUGGGCUCUGUGUUAAGCUUCGACCUGCCCAAGGAUAUGAGCCUUAUCCCUAGCAUUCAAGAUGUCAUCACAAUUGGCCCUCCUGAGCAAAAGAAGACAGACUCUCAUCACCAGGACACUCAGGUUGAUCGUCCAACAGCUCUGAGCACCUUUAAAACAGUCCGCUCAUGUCCAAUGCAAAAAGAAGAGCCCAAACAAAUUUCUCCAGGUGAACUAACCCUUAAGAUUGAGUGUAAAGACUCCAAAAAGAUCAGCAUUGACACGGUUUCUUUUACUGAAGAUGAAUUUCCUCCUCCACCUUCUCCAGUUGUUGAAGACAUCUCAUUUGAGGAGAAUCAUCCCUCAUCAGUCAGUAAUCUGACCAAUAUUCAACAGAAACAUCUGUCUGGGAUAAGUAUAGUGCCCAAAGAAGAGAUGGUUAGUUGGAAAGCAAAUGGGACUCAACUUGAGAACAAGGAGAACCACUACGUAAGUGUUCCAGAAGAUGCCAUCCAAGGUGUAGCCUUAACUAUGGCAGAGAUUCAUGUAUGUCCUAGCGACCAUACCUUGGUUCACAAUCUUAAUGGACAUGUGUUCCAUAGACCAGUGAAGAACUCCAGCACUCAACAGUUAAGUCCCAGCCAUGCAUCUCAUGUAGUGUUGAACUUCAGAGCCAAUGGAAGAGAGGACUCAGUGGACUCUGGUCACUCCAGCUCUGGAAGCUUCAAGUUAUGUGCAGAGGGUCCAUACAUAGACUCCUCAGAUUGUCCAGUGCCCAAGAGGACCACUGGGAAGGUACCAUCCCUGGAUGCAGGAGUGUCGACCAAGAACUUUGAGUUCUCCAAGGACACAAACAUUACCUUAUCAUUCGACAUUGAUGCUCCAGUUCAUCCUGACCAUCAACAGUUUGAGCAGGAAGAGGAGGAGCUGGAGGACAUCUGGAACCACACCAACAGCCACCGAGAGAGUCUGAACUCUGACAUCAUGUAUAAUGGCUACCAGGCCACCUCUUCUCUAGACCAGCACAGGGAACCCUCACCCAAAGAACAAGCAGUGCUCUUCAGGAAGUUGGUCACGGCCUCUGCACCCAACCUUCUUGUGGCGGAGUUCAGACUGCCACCAUCUGUCCAGACUAUGGUGGGUUCUGGGAAGCAGCAGAACCCAAGGGAAGAAAGGCAAAUUCUGGAUAAAGGGGACAGAAGGUCUUGGGCUGCGUUCACUCAGCAGGAACAGGUUUACAAACAAGUGUCUCUUAAUGAAACAGCUUCAGAUAUGGUUAAACUACCUGAAAUACAGGACCAGCAAAAGUAUAUCUACCAUUAUAGAGAGGAGGAGGAGGAAGAGGAGGGGGAGGAGAAGGAAACAGGUUUUCUGAAGGACCAAUCCAUGAGCCUACUGUCUGUUCAUAUGGGAUUGGAUUGGACCAGUGACAAUGUUAUCCAGAGUGGAAGACAAGAACUGGAACUGCCAUCUAUGGAAGGUACACUGGAGAGGAAACAAAAACUACAACUCGGUGGAAAGAAGGCUUCAUGCAGGGCGUGGAACUCCUAUCAUGCUGUGCUAUACAAACAAACAAUAUGUUUCUAUCAGGACAGGAAAGAUACACUCAAGAGCUGUAUGACCAGCCUUCCUCUGAAUCUAAUCGGAGCGGUGUGUGAACCGUCGCCAGAGUACACCAAAAAACCCACUGCUUCUGCUUGAG
rnacentral:lncRNA from 1 species